CAUCCAUACAUGUGUCAGGGAUAUUCUGAUUUCUGGACCUAUCCAGCUCAGAUUGGAUCAUUUUAGUAAGUCCGAUCUAUCCUCUUCUUUCCCUUUGAUUCGUUUUCUCUGCUCUCCAUUCUACCACUUUUUGUCUCUCCCAUUCUCCUGCAUCCUUCUCCUUCUCCUUCAGUGCAGUGUAUCACCGGUGCUUGGCUGGCCUCUGCGUAAACCCUGGGCUCGUUCAACAGCCCUGCUUACUCUCACCCUCGGCCUCCCCGUCGCUCAGCGAGCCUCCGGAAAGUUCUCCCUGCGUGGAGCGCUGGCAUCAGGAGCCAAAUCCAUGCAGAGGCAGUGUGGUGGAGGAGCUAUGGGGCCUGGAGCUGGAGCUAUGGCCUCUGCGGUGGCUGGUGCACCAUUAUGGAGGCAGCAGGACAGGCAAGUGAAGAGUCCACAUAGGCCUUGUGGUGGAGCUAUGGGAUAUGUGGUGGAGCUUUAUUAUCAUAUGGCGGGCUACUGCCAGGGUCAUUGGCAUUGGGGAUACUAGUCACUCUGUAAUCAAUUGAAUUAUGAAUUAAAUGCUCCAAUCCACUGAGUAGUAGAUCUUCAGCGGAUAUUGGAAGAGAAAUAACAGGGUGUGUGCCUGCUUAACUAGACCCAGUGGUACCAAGCCACAUUGCAACUGUAGAAAAACAU